GAUGGCGGGAGGGGAAGAGCCUGGGAGGGGGCGGGUCAGUGUCUGCCAUGGGACACUGCCAGAGGCGGAGAUAUUGAGAAUAUUAAUAUUCAUUGAGGUCUAGGCUCAGGCUGAAGACGUAAUAUGAGACUGGUGGAUUCUUGUUCCGUAGGACUCUUGUUACCCCUGAAGGGGUGGGACUGUACGUGAACUAGCUGGAGAACUGAAUCACAAGUAGUACACUGCUGCAAAAACUGUUUGCAGGGUGUGCUGGAAGAGAAGACCCUGCUAUGCCAUUCUGGAUUGUGCUGGCUGAUUCUGGAUCACUAUUCUGGAUCUAUUUCCAUCGCAAACCCACAAGAAACCCAGCAGUGUGACCUGUACAUGUCAGCUGAGUUACAUGCCUCCCUCCCAGUGCAACUGUUUUGAAUUGUGCUCUGCUGUACAAAUCUGCUACAAAUCUCCUCCAUAAGCCAUACCUGGUGAGACUUGUUCUGCUGACUUCAGAGAUUAUGGGACCAAAAGAUGCAUUCACAAUGUUUGCAGCUUGUGCAGAUCAGGAAGACAUCUGUGGAAGUGCGAAUAUCUCAGCCCACAAUGAGGUGCGGGUGCCAAAAUAGCCAGUUCGGCUAGGUGAGACUGAACUGGACUCCAUGGGACUCAGUGCAGGAGCAAGGGUCUGCCCGCACACAAGACGCAGGAUCAGAGCCCUCAUCCUAAGAAGCUACAUGUACAGGUUUGUAUCCAC
rnacentral:lncRNA from 1 species